rnacentral:rRNA from 1 species
UACGUAGGGUGCAAGCGUUAAUCGGAAUUACUGGGCGUAAAGCGUGCGCAGGCGGCUUUGCAAGACAGAUGUGAAAUCCCCGGGCUUAACCUGGGAACUGCAUUUGUGACUGCAUGGCUGGAGUGCGGCAGAGGGGGAUGGAAUUCCGCGUGUAGCAGUGAAAUGCGCAGAUAUCAGGAGGAACACCGAUGGCGAAGGCAGCUCGCUGGGGCGGUACUGACGCUGAGGCGCGAAAGCGUGGGGAGCAAACAGG